UACAGAGGUCUCAAGCGUUGUUCGGAUUCAUUGGGCGUAAAGGGUGCGUAGGCGGCGCGAUAAGUCGGGUGUGAAAUCUUGGAGCUUAACUCCGAAACUGCAUUCGAUACUGCCGUGCUUGAGGACUGGAGAGGAGACUGGAAUUUACGGUGUAGCGGUGAAAUGCGUAGAUAUCGUAAGGAAGACCAGUGGCGAAGACGGGUCUCUGGACAGUUCCUGACGCUAAGGCACGAAGGUCAGGGGAGCAAACGGG
rnacentral:rRNA from 1 species